UGACUUGACAACACAACAGAACAGAUACAAAAAUGAUACUGAUCAUAGUAGCAGUCUGCCUAAGUGUUGUCUCUGGUCAGUCUCUGACCUCCUCUGGUCCAGAGGUGAAGAGACCUGGAGACUCGGUCACUCUGUCCUGCACUGUGUCUGGAUUUUCUAUGAGCAACUACUACAUGAACUGGAUCCGUCAGAAACCAGGAAAGGGGCUGGAGUGGAUCGGGUAUAUUGAUUACGGCACUAGCACAACAUUUGCCCAGUCUCUCCGGGGCCAGUUCUCCAUCACCAAAAACUCCAACACACUGAAUCUACAAGUGAACAGCCUGAAAGCUGAGGACACAGCUGUGUAUUACUGCGCUCGACAGCCACAGUCACACAAGAGACGGCAGAGCUGCACAAAAACAACUCUCAGUUUUGAGCCUGACUGA